GACCAUGAUGACGAAAUAGGAAGACGCGUUUCUUUCUUGUGGCGGAGCCGCUACGGAAUUACGGCGUGGAAUGUGGCCGGAGACCGUCGAUGCUUAAAAUGAAGUCCUGGUCUGCUGCCAGGAUCAUAUUCACGAAGUCGUGCGCGAGAAAGAGAGAUUCCGAUGAACUCUUCUCACAUUGAAAACUAAAGAAAACUGCGCAGUUUUCUAUCUACCCAAAGCUUUAUUAAUGGCGCUUAUCGUCGAGAAAUUCGAUUGGCCUCGCCAUCUCACUGUCGAUACAAAUAGUGUAUUCAUAUUGCAUCGAGUGUAUAAUCAAUGCGAUACGUAUCGAUCAAAUGCGAUUGGGAGGAUGGUUUUGGAGCUUGUUCAAAGCAAUUGAUUGAGGAUAGAUAAAGCGAGCACGGAAUUGUCCAUCAUACUAUGGAAUAUUCACGGUAUAUCAGUUCAAUUGUGCUUGCAUACAUUAGUCUGUAAAUUGCGAAAAGAAACUCCAAUUCGUUUAAAAAAUCUUUUAUCAGCAGAGAUUCAUUACUGCGAGAUAAAAAUUCUUUUUGAGGAAAUGCAGCGAGGCAUGUAUUAAAAAGGCUUCUGAUGACUAGCCGCCGUGAAUAUAAGAAUUGUGAUGUCAUAAGAGAAACUUCAACAUGUAAUUUCUUGUUUACACUGUUAAAUAUCAAAGAAGCAAUAGUAACGCAAUUCCAUAAAUACGAGGAUGUACAAAAAACAAGAAAUUACAAGUGCGCUUGAUCUCUUCAUUGAGACGUCCAAGCGAUCGAGAUGUAAUCGUGGUGAAGGAACAAACGGAAUGCCCCGGGUUAGAAAAUAAUAUCUAGAUGUCGGCCCUUAGUCGAGAGAGAGAGUCUCUCGAGUAUAACUAGAAGAGUCCAAUUAGAUAACCGACUGUCGAGAAGCAGACGUCCGCGGAAAUUCUGCUUCGUUUGUGAUUUCGAAGAGAGGAACAGUUUAUCGAAAUAAUAUAGAUCCUUUAGCUGCGGGCUAAAGGGAAUAAACGUUGGAAAUGUGAGCAAUAUCGUGAAACGAUAUCAGACAGCGCGGCAAGAAAAUCGAAAUGUACGUUAAGAGAGUUACGCGCACAAACUCGACAUGGUUGCGCCGUGCUUUCCGCAGAGUGUGCUUUAUAAUUUAUCUUGCAGCAACGUCAGCGGAUCCACACAUUCAAAUGUGUUGCUCUUGCGUAAUUCACAGCACGAUUAAUACACGACGCGGCGACCAGAUCGGAUUUUCAGAUGAGUAAACAGAGUCAUUGUACUUUGAUCGAUUUAUUCGGCUCGGAAUGUUGAGUAACCGUAAAUUGCGGCA